AUUGAACGCUGGCGGCAGGCCUAACACAUGCAAGUCGAACGGUAACAGGAAGACGCUUGCUUCUUUGCUGACGAGUGGCGGACGGGUGAGUAAUGUCUGGGAAACUGCCUGAUGGAGGGGGAUAACUACUGGAAACGGUAGCUAAUACCGCAUAACGUCGCAAGACCAAAGAGGGGGACCUUCGGGCCUCUUGCCAUCGGAUGUGCCCAGAUGGGAUUAGCUAGUAGGUGGGGUAACAGCUCACCUAGGCGACGAUCCCUAGCUGGUCUGAGAGGAUGACCAGCCACACUGGAACUGAGACACGGUCCAGACUCCUACGGGAGGCAGCAGUGGGGAAUAUUGCACAAUGGGCGCAAGCCUGAUGCAGCCAUGCCGCGUGUAUGAAGAAGGCCUUCGGGUUGUAAAGUACUUUCAGCGGGGAGGAAGGGAGUAAAGUUAAUACCUUUGCUCAUUGACGUUACCCGCAGAAGAAGCACCGGCUAACUCCGUG
rnacentral:rRNA from 1 species